rnacentral:rRNA from 1 species
AGACAGCAGUCGCCACGGUAAUACAGAGGGUGCGAGCGUUAAUCGGAUUUACUGGGCGUAAAGCGUGCGUAGGCGGCUUCUUAAGUCGGAUGUGAAAUCCCUGAGCUUAACUUAGGAAUUGCAUUCGAUACUGGGAAGCUAGAGUAUGGGAGAGGAUGGUAGAAUUCCAGGUGUAGCGGUGAAAUGCGUAGAGAUCUGGAGGAAUACCGAUGGCGAAGGCAGCCAUCUGGCCUAAUACUGACGCUGAGGUACGAAAGCAUGGGGAGCAAACAGGAUUAGAGACCCCCGUAGUCCCUGUCUCUUAUAC